rnacentral:rRNA from 1 species
UGGGGGAUAUUGCACAAUGGGCGAAAGCCUGAUGCAGCGACGCCGCGUGGGGGAUGAAGGCUUUCGGGUUGUAAACCUCUUUCGCUAUCGAACAAGGCCCGCUUAGGGUGGGUUGAGGGUAGGUGGAGAAGAAGCGCCGGCUAACUACGUGCCAGCAGCCGCGGUAAUACGUAGGGCGCGAGCGUUGUCCGGAAUUAUUGGGCGUAAAGGGCUUGUAGGCGGCUUGUUGCGCCUGCUGUGAAAACGCGGGGCUUAACUUCGCGCGUGCAGUGGGUACGGGCAGGCUUGAGUGUGGUAGGGGUGACUGGAAUUCCAGGUGUAGCGGUGGAAUGCGCAGAUAUCUGGAGGAACACCGAUGGCGAAGGCAGGUCACUGGGCCAUUACUGACGCUGAGGAGCGAAAGCAUGAGUAGCGAACAGG